rnacentral:rRNA from 1 species
GACGAACGCUGGCGGCGUGCCUAAUACAUGCAAGUAGAACGCAGUUGCGAACGGGUGAGUAACGCGUAGGUAACUGCCUGGUAGCGGGGGAUAACUAUUGGAAACGAUAGCUAAUACCGCAUACUACCAGAUGGACCUGCGUGUGAUUAGCUAGUUGGUGGGGUACCGGCUCACCCAGGCAACGAUACAUAGCCGACCUGGUAGGGUGAUCGGACACACUGGGAAUGAGACACGGCCCAGACGCCGUCAGGGGGACGCAGUAGGGAAUCUUCGGCAAUGGACGGAAGUCUGACCGAGCAACGCCGCGUGAGUGAAGAAGGUUUUCGGAUCGUAAAGCUCUGUUGUAAGAGAAGCGGUAUCUUACCAGAAAGGGACGGCUAACUACGUGCCAGCAGCCGCGGUAAUAC